CCGUUGUCUUGCCCUGUUUUCCUGGCACAAUUGUGAGUCCUUAUUGACAUCGAUCAAUGAGUUGCUUUAGCAUCAACCUUCGCAAGCGCCUCCUGCGUGUGGAAGACUUUUAGAGGCAGGCGGGGCUGUCGGUGCUGAUUUUCUGAAUGGGAAGCAAGUUCUCCCAAGGAAGGACUCUGCUGGCUAAGACAGGGAGGGUGGGGUAUCGGCGUGCUGGGUAUUGUUUAUGUGUAAAUAACUGUUUCCUGAGUAUUUGCACUGAAGAGGCCAAGAGGGUCGGAGAGUUUUGUGCAUUUGCAAACUCUGGGAAGUUUAAGUGCCCAACGGGCCAGGGUCUGAGCCAUUCUUGCCAUGGUGGUUGGGCUCUUUGCUCGUUAGGGUUUCAAUGCUUUAAUCUUAUUUGAGGUCAGUUAGAAAGCGUGAUACUGUCCUUUGUACCUGCCAACCAAAUACUCAGCGGAAGCAUCGCUUGCUGGUGCUUCUUGACUCGAGAAGGAAGGAGAUGGGACAGAGUUCAUGAUGACUCCCAGAGGUGGAGACCAUGGCCAUCUGAGAAUUCCUAGAGUGGACACUCACACAGACCCUCAGGUGCCAGCUGAGAGAACUGGUGCUUCAGGGUGAGCCCGGGGUGAGGUCUGUGCCACAGAUGGCCAGGCUUUGUAGGAGGCAGGAGAGGUCGCCGAGCGGAGCUGCCAGGUGGUGGCCAGUUCUGCCCUGGCCCCUGCAGGCGUCACCCUGGCGCAUCAUCUGGUCCAGGGAUUCUGUUGCAAUCCUGACGCUGACAGCAUCUGGGAAACUGGAGCUGAGCGGGUCUGGCCGGCCUGUCUGUGGUGACAUGAGCUGGACACUGGACAGUGGCCUUGAGCUCUUUGCCUGUGUUUUUCACUGUGAGAGUGUGUGUGUCUCCUUGAACCCUGUCCCUGGUAUGGCUGCACAUGAGCAUCUGAGCCCAGGAAACCCGCUCGAUGCCCCCAUUGGCAGACUCCUGCGUGUCUGAAUUCUGAGCUUAGCGUUCUUUCGCCGGGGCUCGGGAUGGUGCUAUUUCAUGCCCGCCUAAACUCUGAGUUUCUCAGAGGCAUCUGGUCACCAGCCAGAGGAUUUUGUGACUGGAAUGCCAAGGCCAAGAUAUCAUGUUAGGGAAGAUAAAGAAAACACCAGCUCCAAUCACCUGUCUCUGGGGAUCAGCCACAUCAGACAAUCUGAGGUCGUUCAGCCUUCCCCACGCACCAGCAGGGCUGCCCUGGCCCAGCUCGGGGUGAGGGUCCUUUAAACUGUCUCAGGAGAGGAGAUCCCACAGGCUCCUCCGGCAGCUCGCGCCGACCAAGAAAGAGAAGACGAGCUUUUCAGUCUGGAAAACUCCCAGUGGCAUGUCAUUGAAGGCACAUCCUGGGGGGUGCAUCCCCUGCCAGUUUCCAUGCCAGGGCUCAGGAAAUGGGCUUGGGCAUGCAGUCUGUGUGCCCCAGACAGAGCAAGCCCUGACGUGGAGGUGAGUGUGGCUGUUAGAAGGACAGAUGCCUCGGCCCCUUCUUUCCUUUGCCUCUCUUCUUGCUCCUCUGUAUUUCUGUUAAAAUAAAAAGCUCUUGCUGGA